UACGUAGGGGGCAAGCGUUGUCCGGAUUUAUUGGGCGUAAAGAGCGUGUAGGCGGUUUGGUAGGUCCGUUGUGAAAACUCGAGGCUCAACCUCGAGACGCCGGCGGAAACCAUCAGGCUAGAGUCCGGAAGAGGAGAGUGGAAUUCCUGGUGUAGCGGUGAAAUGCGCAGAUAUCAGGAAGAACACCAAUGGCGAAGGCAGCUCGCUGGGACGUGACUGACGCUGAGACGCGAAAGCGUGGGGAGCAAACAGG
rnacentral:rRNA from 1 species